rnacentral:lncRNA from 1 species
CAGGGAUCACGCAUCUUACGGCUUGACGAUCAAGGGGGGAAAGCCUGGGUCUUCAUAGAAAAGGAGAGGAGGCAAACGCAGCCCAAACUGGGGGGUUUCUCUUCAAAGCCAGCUGGUCUGGCUUUAUUCUACAGGAAUUUUUUUUACCUGUCAGUGUUUGAACAACAAAGCCCUCAGCAGGUGCUGACUGGGUACAACUUCCUGGAGAAGCAGAAAGGCACUGGUGCCAAAGAAGAGCUGCAAACUGUGAAGUAACUUCUAUGAAGAGAUGAAGUAAAGAAUGGAAGGCAAAUGACUGUGGUAGUAAAGAAGUGUAUGUGGUGAGUGCUUAACAUUAUUUUAUCGUCUACCACAAAGUUAAUUCAUAAAAGUAUAACUGCCAAACUCUU